AUCUGGUACCUGGCUUACUGUGACCUCUGGGCCUGCAUAUGUCUGACGUGCAGUAUUACAUACACUGCACUGUGUUUUGGGCAGACUAUAGCUUGUUACAUGCUAAUUAUGCAAUCUUUCAUGGGUUGAUGACAAUUGCUCUAAACUCAAACAUUUGGAAAUCCCCCUCCAGAAAUCCUGCGUUAGUCCCUGGCCUUACUUGACCAGGAUAUCCAGUGAAGCCCCCAAAGUAUAUCUGACUGGCAAUCACCACUUUAUGCCAUGUGGAUGUUCAAGCGUAGCCAAGAACCCGCUUAUCUAUGUGCAGAUUGAUUUCCUGAGGGUGAUUCCAAGAAGUUUUCGUGCACUGAGAACAGCAAACUACUACAUGGGGAUCCAGUCAGGGUUCCGGCGUUCGGGAUCCUGGCAGUUGGAAUACCGAUGCCGGAAUCCCAACACUGAUUGGAAUCCCGGCGCCAGGAUACCGACAUGGAUUGCAAUGCAGCAGCCGGAAUCCCAAACGCAGGACUGCCGAGAUUGCAGCGAGGAAACACCGUGCAGUGUCAGGAUCAGUUGGUAGCUGGGAACAUGGGAGGCACUGAGAGGGACGAGAAGGACAGAAGAGAGGCAAAAACCUGAGCUCACCUCCCACCUGGCAUAUUUUAACCAAUGUAUGAAAUUAAUUUGCCAGAGUCCAAUUAAACUGCUGGUAUGUCUUUGGGAAGCAGGGAAUAUCGAACCCCACGCAAACACAAGGAGAACAUACAAACUAGACACGGAUGAAGUCCGCAUUCUCCUUGCUGGCAAGCUAAGGCAGCAGUAUUGAGAAAAUUGACUUUUCAAAGAUGAAGAUUUAACUUAAAGUGUCAAAGGAUGGACAUAGUGAUCUUCCCUGACUAUAGACCCUUGCAGCUGUCAUCUACUAUCUAUAGCAUAGACAUACGUUUGCUGAUCUUGUGACUUCACUCCAAAAUUACCAACUGUAUGACAUAAGAAGAUUCCCAAAGCGGUCAUUGCUUUAUUUUAAACUUGCCUAGUUAAGCAUAUUGAAUAUAUCCAUUACAUGUCCCUGGAAGGUGUGGCCAAUAUAUAUAUAUAUAUAUAUAUAUAUAUAUAUAUAUAUAUAAAGGAUUUCCACUGUAUAAAUCGCUUCAUUUGUCAACACAGCUGCCAUUCACAUCCCCGGCUAACAAUAAAUCUCAUCACUCAUCACUCAUCAAUGGACCUGAAUUACAAGUGCUUAUUAUUUCAACCAGUAUAUUUCUGGAUUGUAGGAGGAAACCGGAGUGCCCGGAGGAAACCCACGGGAAGAAUAUACAAACUCCACACAGAUAGGGCCGUGGUGGAAAAUGAACCCAUGAACUCAGUACUAGGAGGCAGUAAUGCUAACCAUUAUACCAUCCGUGCUUAUUAUUUCAAUAUAAUCCACUGUGUCGCCAUGCGGCUUUUAGAAUUAUUAAAGUAUAUACACAUGGACA